GGACUCAAUGCAGCGCUUAAGUUUCAAAAAUUCAAGUUUAGUUGGCUGUGAAUCAAUUUUCUUCUUACCUGUACACAAUCCCCACUGAGCACAAUCAGUUUUUGUUUUCCGUUCGGCCCAAACACACUAAAUUUUAACUCUAGUCCAAAGUUUUUAUUUUCCGCUUCUUGCUUAAAAAUAAUCAUGGGUUGUAUGCCUGGUGGACCUUGUUGCGGACCUUGUUGCGGACCUUGUUGCGGACCUUGCUGUGGUCCUUGCUGUGGACCCUGUUGUGGAACCAGCUGUGGACCUUGUUGUGGUCCUUGCGCACCUUGUGGACCCUGUUGCGGAAAGCGAAAUGGCCUUCAGAUCCCCUGAAGCCUUAUCCAAAAAAAGUCCUGGACUAGAGUUUAAAUUGGUCACCUUUUUAUAAAUAAAGCAGAAAAAAUAAAAAUAUAAAUAUUUCAAAAACGAA